rnacentral:piRNA from 1 species
UGGGCGUGUACUUUUUCCUAUCUAUAGGUC